rnacentral:rRNA from 1 species
GACGAACGCUGGCGGCGUGCUUAACACAUGCAAGUCGAACGGUAAGGCCCUUCGGGGUACACGAGUGGCGAACGGGUGAGUAACACGUGGGUGAUCUGCCCUGCACUUCGGGAUAAGCCUGGGAAACUGGGUCUAAUACCGGAUAGGACCACUGCCUGCAUGGGUGGUGGUGGAAAGCUUUUGCGGUGUGGGAUGGGCCCGCGGCCUAUCAGCUUGUUGGUGGGGUGAUGGCCUACCAAGGCGACGACGGGUAGCCGGCCUGAGAGGGUGACCGGCCACGCGGGGACUGAGAUACGGCCCAGACGCCUACGGGAGGCAGCAGUGGGGAAUAUUGCACAAUGGGCGCAAGCCUGAUGCAGCGACGCCGCGUGAGGGAUGACGGCCUUCGGGUUGUAAACCUCUUUCAGCACCGACGAAGCGCAAGUGACGGUAGGUGCAGAAGAAGGACCGGCCAACUACGUGCCAGCAGCCGCCGUAAUAC